UGAACAAUGGUGAUUUGAGUCUGAGACGAUUUAGUUGCCAUUUACACGUAGUUGUAUUGCCCUAUGGCAGCGAUUAAAGUGGUCAUUUAAGAAGACACUAAGCAAGUUGUGCAGCAAACAUAGCAGUCAGCUGGGGCUUGAUUUUUGGAAGGUGUGAAAACGGCACAGGAGACGUUUUACAGGUGGAAGAAGGUUUUUCUGGUAAAAAAAACUGACCAGAAAAACAUUCAGACUCGGUGGUCAUAAGACCAAGCCUUACGCCAGGUCAGAGACAGAGCGCGAUGCGUGUGGAGAACUUGGCACAACCUGAAUAACACUGGACAAACACAGGCACAGAACCCCUCUGCAUGAUGAGGACGAUGACGAGCCCAUGACAUUUCUGGAAUAUUUACGCCGUAUAGAGCAGGAAGAAUACAAAAAACAAGCAACUACAAUCCAGGCUGUGUGUGAUAGUGGAGAGCUAGACCCCCUUUUUUUUUUUUUUUCCUUUUUUCCAACAACUGGUCACCUCAGGGUGAGUGUGUGCCUGGUGAUUUUAUCAAUGUUUUUGAGCACAGUGUAUCAGACUUUAAUCUCCUACCUACCAUACCCAGGUGCAUGAGUAUUG
ensembl:lncRNA